GCCGCCUUCCGGCCACUUUCCGGCCAAAACUCUUGUACUUCCGGACUCCCCGCAACUUGAGCUUCGCGUAGGCACUUCCCGAUUUGAAUUCCGACACUGUUGGCAGGACCGGCUUCCGGACCCUAGUGUUUUCUGGACGCGCGGAAUAUUUUAAUUUUUAACUCGGUAUAAUUUUAUUAGACUCUGAAAAAUUUUGUUAUAAUAUUAGAAUGUUAUUGAGGCUAUUAAUUGCUUGUGUUGGGUAGUUUAAAAAUAAAUCAAAUUAAAUUGUUUGGAUUGUGGUGUUUUGGAGUCGGGAAAAUAUUAAUGCAGUUCUUGUGGCCCGGCUCCUGUUAUUAAAUUCCAACAUGUUUGAUAUAUUUUUGGCAGGUCCUGGACCCGUUUUACGGGGGGUAAAUAUCCGUAAUUUAGGGGAGGUUCUGUCAAAUUUUCGGCAGAAUCCUCGAGUCCAAUUUAAUUCUAGGCAGUCGACCUUAGGGUCUAAGUUUAGGAAGAAUUUUCAAAUGUCUAUUAAUUGUAUGUCUUUUGUUAUUAGAUAAUUCAGCCUUCCCGCCAGCUCCACCCGAGGCAUAGGAGCGGACUGUGGAACGCAUCAAAUCUGUGA
rnacentral:lncRNA from 1 species